rnacentral:rRNA from 1 species
AUUGAACGCUAGCGGCAUGCUUAACACAUGCAAGUCGAACGAGUGGCGGACGGGUGAGUAAUAUCUCGGAACGUGCCUAGUAGCGGGGGAUAACUACUAGAAAGGGUAGCUAAUACCGCAUACUAUUGGAUCUGCCGAUAUGGGAUUAGCUAGUUGGUGGGGUAAAGGCUCACCAAGGCAACGAUCCGUAGCUGGUUUGAGAGGACGACCAGCCACACUGGGACUGAGACACGGCCCAGACUCCUACGGGAGGCAGCAGUGGGGAAUCUUGGACAAUGGGCGCAAGCCUGAUGCAGCCAUGCCGCGUGUAGGAAGAAGGCCUUCGGGUUGUAAAGUACUUUCAGUCGGGAGGCGUUACCGACAGAAGAAGCACCGGCUAACUCCGUGCCAGCAGCCGCGGUAAUUC